rnacentral:tRNA from 1 species
GUCUUUGUAGCUUGCACAAAGCAUGGCACUGAAGAUGCCAAGAUGGUUGCUGCACAUGCACCCAAAGACA